rnacentral:rRNA from 1 species
AGUCCAGACUCCUACGGGAGGCAGCAGUCGGGAAUAUUGCGCAAUGGAGGAAACUCUGACGCAGUGACGCCGCGUAUAGGAAGAAGGUUUUCGGAUUGUAAACUAUUGUCGUUAGGGAAGAUAAAAGACAGUACCUAAGGAGGAAGCCCCGGCUAACUACGUGCCAGCAGCCGCGGUAAUACGUAGGGGGCAAGCGUUAUCCGGAAUUAUUGGGCGUAAAGAGUACGUAGGUGGCAACCUAAGCGCAGGGUUUAAGGCAAUGGCUCAACCAUCGUUCGCCCUGCGAACUGGGAUGCUUGAGUGCAGGAGAGGAAAGCGGAAUUCCUAGUGUAGCGGUGAAAUGCGUAGAUAUUAGGAGGAACACCAGUGGCGAAGGCGGCUUUCUGGACUGUAACUGACACUGAGGUACGAAAGCGUGGGGAGCAAACAGGAUUAGAUACCCGCGUAUC